rnacentral:rRNA from 1 species
UGGGGAAUAUUGGACAAUGGGCGCAAGCCUGAUCCAGCAAUACCGCGUGUGUGAAGAAGGCCUUAGGGUUGUAAAGCACUUUCAAUUGGGAGGAAAACCUGCCGGUUAAUACCCGGCAGCUUGACAUUACCAAUAGAAGAAGCACCGGCUAACUCCGUGCCAGCAGCCGCGGUAAUACGGAGGGUGCGAGCGUUAAUCGGAAUUACUGGGCGUAAAGCGUGCGUAGGUGGUUUGUUAAGUCAGAUGUGAAAGCCCCGGGCUUAACCUGGGAACGGCAUUUGAAACUGGCAGACUAGAGUUGAGUAGAGGGGAGUGGAAUUUCAGGUGUAGCGGUGAAAUGCGUAGAUAUCUGAAGGAACACCAGUGGCGAAGGCGACUCCCUGGACUCAAACUGACGCUG